CCUACGGGGGGCAGCAGUGGGGAAUAUUGGACAAUGGGGGGAACCCUGAUCCAGCCAUGCCGCGUGUGUGAAGAAGGCCCUCGGGUUGUAAAGCACUUUCAGUGAGGAAGAACGCCUGGUGGUUAAUACCCAUCAGGAAAGACAGCACUCACAGAAGAAGCACCGGCUAACUCCGUGCCAGCAGCCGCGGUAAUACGGAGGGUGCGAGCGUUAAUCGGAAUUACUGGGCGUAAAGCGCGCGUAGGUGGCUUGAUAAGCCGGUUGUGAAAGCCCCGGGCUCAACCUGGGAACGGCAUCCGGAACUGUCAAGCUAGAGUGCAGGAGAGGAAGGUAGAAUUCCCGGUGUAGCGGUGAAAUGCGUAGAGAUCGGGAGGAAUACCAGUGGCGAAGGCGGCCUUCUGGACUGACACUGACACUGAGGUGCGAAAGCGUGGGUAGCAAACAGGAUUAGAUACCCCAGUAGUC
rnacentral:rRNA from 1 species